GGGGACGUGGCGGAAUGGUAUACGCGCAUGCUUGAGGUGCAUGUGGGGAGACCCGUGAGAGUUCGAGUCUCUCCGUCCCCACCA
rnacentral:tRNA from 1 species